GAGGGGGUGCAAACGUUAUUCGGAUUUACUGGGUGUAAAGGUGUGUAGACGGGUUGUUAAGUUCGUUGUUAAAUCUUCCGGGCCUAACCGGAAGCUCGCGAUGGAAACUGGCAAUCUUGAGGAUGGAAGAGAGAAGUGGAAUUCUCGGAGUAGCGGUAAAAUGCGUAGAUCUCGAGAGGAACACCGAUGGCGAAGGCAGCUUCUUGGUCCAUUCCUGACGUUGAGACACGAAAGCGUGGGGAGCAAACAGGAUUAGAUACCCUGGUAGUCCACGCUGUAAACGAUGAUCACUAGAUGUUGGCCCUGUUUUGCAGGGUUAGUAUCGAAGCUAACGCGUUAAGUGAUCCACCUGGGAACUACGAUCGCAAGAUUA
rnacentral:rRNA from 1 species